rnacentral:rRNA from 1 species
AUCUAGGGCCACACCACCCUGAACGCGCCCAAUCUCAUCUGAUCUCAGAAGCUUAGCACGGUCGGCCCGGUUAGCACUUGGAUGAGAGACCACCUGGGAACACCAGGUCCCCCUAGGCU